GCUGUUCAGCCUGAGUUCUCCGCAAAUCCAUAGCAGAAAUGUUGAAGGAGUAAUUUGUAGUCCAGCCGUUUGGUUGAAGAGAUAAGAGCAGCGAUGACAUUUUGGUGAGGGAGAUACUUCGGGCCAUGCAGAAGAAGGAAAAGACGGAGCGGGUGUUUUCCCCAUGAAUGAACAAGGCAUCCUCGUUGAAAAGGUCGUUUAAUCUCUCUGAACGCUGUGUUUUACACCUGACCUUUCCUCUCCUCUUGCCUUGGUCUUUCCAAAGCAGGGGCCUGACUCACAGCUGCGUUAACUCCRGCGAGAGGUCCUCGAGACUGGUGGCCUGGUCUGGGCGCAGAGGAGGGAUGCCCAGGGCCCGACGGCUCGUGCAAGCCGGCUGCUGCUUGUCUGGAGAGCGAUUGCCUUCGUUGCGCUGCAAGAGGAUGCCGGCAGCGGGGCGGUCUGGCCCUGCGGAGCCAUCCGUCUCCCUGUUUCACCCUGUGCACGGAGGCAGUUUGGAGGGGAGGCACACACUGUCCUUGACUCCACCGGAGGAGACAAUUCAGCCCUGGCAGGAAGCUCUCCGGGACUUUUCCAUUCCCUUGUCAGUCCCAAACAGCCGGGUGUCAGCUUCCCCGCACGAGGCCGUUGGCAGGAUUCGGGGCUGGGCGUCAGGAGACUCGGUUUCCUUAUUCCCGCUCACCUGCUGCGAGACUUCGGGCAAAUCRCGAUCUCUCCCCGUGCCUUGUCCCCCCUGCCCGUAAGCAGCGGGAGGCUGGCGCAGGGGUUGGGGCUGGCCCGGAGCAUCCCCGCGCCUCCCCCCGGCCGCUGCAGCCUCUCUGCCUGAUCCUUGCCGGCAUCGCCCCCGCGGUGCCUUUCUCCAGCAAACAAGCGGAGGUUUCGGUUGCUCGGGUGCCUGCGAGCUUUGGGAAGCCRGUGUCCGUCCCCGAGCCCCCUCCAGCCCCACGUGGGGUGGUGGAGCCRGGGGAGCCCCCUUGCCCUCUCCCCUCCGGGCUGCAGCCGGGCUCCCGAGCCCCCUCUCGAAGGGCCGUGGGAGGGCGAUAAACAACAGUCUGGCAAAGCUGGGGGAGGCUUUUGCGCAAGGUAAUGUGGAAAACACCACCGGAAAAAUGCAACAGUUGUUUUCCUGGAGAGGCACGAGGGAGCCAGGACGUGGCCACGCUUUCUGGAAACCCUGCGCACGCAGCGCAGGUGACGUGGCCACCAGCCCCUUCUCCCGCGGCCCCUUAACCCUCUCGCACGCGCAUGUUUGUUUUCCUCGCUGCCCAGCGUGUUUUCUCCCCCCUUUAAAUCUCAGCUGUCAGCUGGGCAUACCAGGAGCUUGCCAGAAACGUCUGCGGAGGUCAGGUGAUGGCCCUGUGUGUCCACGGGCUCCCCCUGCUCCCUCAGUCCUCAUACCGGCCCAGGACCGCCGUGCCCAGGCUGUAAAGCRGCGAGAAAACCAGCCCGGACAGCGUCCCGACCGCGACGGGGACCCGCGCGAAGAGCCGAACCCCGUCGGGACUCGGCGCUCCGCCGGCCGAGCCAGCAGGUGAGGGUCCGCGGCGCCUCUUGCGUCAGCACUGGCCACCUUCUAGGGCAGGAUGAAUAAGCACUUGGUUUUGGAGAGCAGGUGGGAUAUUAUUAAUAACCGUGUAAAUGCGGACGUGCCUUGCGGGGCGGGAAG
rnacentral:lncRNA from 1 species